GUAAUUUCAUGGUUUCAGCGGAGAAAUUCCCAUUCACACGCGCACACAUAACAUAGAUACCCGCAUACUAUGUUCACUUCUUGUUCACAGUAGGGUUGUGUUUCAAUUGAUUUGCAGCACGCAAAACGCCACCCUCCUCUUUCUCUCGUGACGCCUAUCAUUUCAUUUCAUUCUCUUACAAUUUAAUCUCUCACUACCAUCGCUUUCUCUCUCAUCUCUCUGCAACAAUGGGUGCUUCUCUCCCCUCUAAGGAGGCCAACCUCUUCAAGCUUAUUGUUAAAUCAUAUGAAACCAAACAAUAUAAAAAGGGCCUCAAAGCAGCCGAUGCCAUUUUGAAGAAAUUUCCAGAUCAUGGAGAAACUUUGUCGAUGAAGGGUUUGACGUUAAAUUGCAUGGAUCGUAAGUCUGAAGCAUAUGAACUUGUUCGUCUAGGAUUAAAGAAUGACGUUAAAAGUCAUGUUUGCUGGCAUGUUUUUGGUCUCCUUUAUCGAUCAGACAGAGAAUACAGGGAGGCAAUCAAGUGCUACCGAAAUGCACUGAGAAUAGAUCCUGACAAUAUUGAAAUUCUCCGUGACCUAUCACUCUUACAGGCACAAAUGCGAGAUUUAACAGGUUUUGUUGAGACAAGACAACAACUUUUGACUCUAAAGCCAAAUCAUCGCAUGAACUGGAUUGGAUUUUCUGUUGCCCAUCAUUUGAACUCUAAUGCAUCAAAAGCAGUUGAGAUUUUGGAAGCGUAUGAGGGGACUUUAGAAGAUGAUUAUCCUCCAGAAAAUGAGCGGUGUGAACAUGGGGAAAUGCUCUUAUACAAGAUCUCUUUGCUAGAGGAAUGUGGAUUUCUUGAGAGAGCUUUGGAAGAGCUGCACAACAAAGAAUCAAAAAUUGUUGAUAAGCUUUCAUAUAAAGAACAAGAAGUUUCACUUCUAGUAAAGCUUGGUCACUUGGAAGAAGGUGAAGCAUUGUACCGGGAAUUACUUUCCAUGAAUCCUGAUAAUUAUAGAUACUAUGAAGGUCUCCAAGAGUGUGUUGGGUUAUAUAUAGAAGAUGGCCAGUUGUCUGCUGAUCAAAUAGAUCAGUUAGAUUCUUUGUACGAAACACUUGCACAGCAAUAUAAGUGGUCUUCUGCAGUUAAGAGAAUACCACUGGAUUUUCUACAAGGUGACAAAUUUCGAGAAGCAGCUGGCAAUUAUAUUAGGCCUCUUCUAACCAAGGGUGUUCCAUCUUUGUUCUCUGAUCUUUCCUCUUUGUACAAUCAACCUGGGAAGGCAGACAUUUUGGAACAACUUAUUCUUGAAUUAGAGCUUUCAAUUAGGACAUCUGGCCAAUAUCCUGGGAGGGUGGAAAAAGAACCCCCUUCAACCCUGAUGUGGACUUUGUUUUUAUUGGCUCAGCAUUAUGACAGACGGGGCCAAUAUGAAAUUGCACUUUCUAAAAUUGAUGAAGCUUUAGAACAUACACCGACAGUCAUUGAUCUAUAUUCUGUCAAGAGCCGGAUACUGAAGCAUGCUGGUGAUUUGGCUGCUGCUGCUGCAUUUGCAGACGAAGCUAGGUGCAUGGAUCUUGCUGAUCGUUAUGUUAACAGUGAAUGUGUUAAGCGUAUGCUGCAAGCUGAUCAGGUGGCCAUGGCCGAAAAAACUGCUGUAUUGUUCACUAAAGAUGGGGAUCAACACAACAACCUUCAUGACAUGCAAUGCAUGUGGUAUGAGCUUGCCUCAGGUGAAAGCUAUUUCCGCCAGGGUGAUCUUGGACGGGCUCUCAAGAAAUUUUUAGCAGUGGAGAAGCAUUAUGCUGAUAUUACGGAGGACCAAUUUGAUUUUCACUCAUACUGCUUACGGAAAAUGACUUUGCGUACUUAUGUAGAAAUGCUUAAAUUUCAAGACCAAUUGCACUCCCAUGCGUAUUUUCAUAAAGCAGCAGCUGGUGCUAUCAGAUGCUAUAUUAAGUUGUAUGAUUCUCCACCGAAGUCUUCAGCAGAGGAAGAUGAUAAUAUGUCUAAGUUGCUUCCUUCUCAGAAAAAGAAAAUGAGACAAAAGCAGAGAAAGGCAGAAGCAAGAGCUAAGAAAGAGGCUGAAGAAAAGAAUGAAGAGUUAAGUGCCAGUGGGGUAUCAAAGUCUGGGAAACGGCAUGUAAAACCUGUUGAUCCUGAUCCAAACGGGGAGAAGUUGUUGCAGGUUCAAGAUCCACUGUCAGAAGCUACUAAAUACUUGAAGUUGCUGCAGAAGAAUUCACCCAAUUCCUUGGAGACACACCUGCUCUCUUUUGAGUUAUACACAAGGAAACAAAAGAUUUUGCUUGCUUUUCAGGCUGUGAAGAAGUUACUGAGAUUGGAUGCUGAACACCCUGAUUCUCAUCGAUGCUUGAUUAAAUUCUUCCAUAACGUGGGAUCCAUGAAUGCUCCGGUGACUGACAGUGGCAAACUGAUUUGGAGUGUCUUAGAAGCUGAGCGCUCAAAUAUCAGUCAGCUGCAUGAGAAAUCUCUGUUUGAGGCAAACAACUCUUUCCUUGAAAAGCAUAAAGACUCUUUGAUGCAUAGAGUAGCUUUCUCUGAAAUCUUGUACAUUUUGGAUUCAAACAGAAAGUUUGAGGCUGUUAAGUUCAUUGAGGAGUCAACAAAUAACACUGUGCCUAGUGCAUGACAGCAGUGGUGCGUGGGGGAGAGCAGCCUUUGGCUGCCACAGAUCUGGCUUAGCAGAGUUUGCUGUCAUGGCCAUCAGGAGCAUCAUGGCUGUAUUCGCAGCCCAAGACACAGCCUUUCGCGGGGUAAUAGUGCCACCAUAGGGAAAGAUACCAACUUUCCUUUUCUACCUUCACAAAGGAAUUUUAGGAUUUUUUAAGGAAAUGGAGCUCUUGGACCAAUCACGGAAUGGAAACUUAGAGACUGUAUUGCAGUUCACAAACUUCUUGGAAAAGUUCUUGCUGACCAGGAUGCUGCAUUGAGAUGGAAAGUGCGUUGUGCAGAAUACUUCCCUUAUUCUACAUACUUUGAGGGAUGCCGCAGCUCUGCCUCUCCCAACUCGACCUUGGAUCAGUUAAGUAAGCACUCUGAAAAUGGUUGUCAAAAUGUGGGGUCCAUCACAUCAAAUGGGAACCUAGAGGCACUUAAAGAUCUCACUAUCUGAUUAAGUCAAAUUCAUCAUGAGGCUAAGGGAUACGCAAUUACCCAGUUUGGAUGCAUAUAAGACCAAACUGCAUUUGACACUCCCAGAAUCGACUGCGUUGCAGUUUGCAGCAACAAAGGUCACAGUUUUGGUGCGGGUUAUGGCAAAACUCUACACACGUCUCUCCGAUGUAUUUUCUUUGCACGAUUUAUCUCUCCCAGCUGUGAAAUGUAUUUGGUUUGCAAAUGUGUAUAAUUUUACCUCAAUUGUCUUAGGAUUGACUUUUUUUAAUUUGUUCACCCUUUUUCUGAGAGGUGGUAGACGGGGCUCCAUGGAUUUGCACCAUUGUCUUUGGUUAUCAUUUUGGUCGUUGGAAGAGCUACAGAAUUUUAGGUUUCUAGUUCUGCAUCCAGUCAACAUAAAUAUAAGGAGAGCAUGUUGUAUCUUUCCUAUUUUAUUUCCUUAUUCGUCAUGUAUAAACAUUAAAUCAUGUGAAAAUUUUGCUACUGGAUGCCGAAUUGACAUCUGUAAUUUUGGAUGAAUUCAGUUAAAAAAAGAGGUUAGUAGUACUGUU